AUAAGCACACAAUGUCAAUAUAUACGGUCUUUUAGCUUAAAAUCCCCCAAAUCGAAAUGAAAGUCAUAAUGCACUGAAACCAAGGCGACUAGAAUAUUCGCAAUUCGCUCACAAUAUGUUCCGUUGAUACAUAUUCAAUAGAUUGCAGAUAAGAUUUAAUAGAUUGGCAAACGCAAUAAGAACUGUAUGUUCCCAUUAUUUACGUUUUUUUUUUUUAAUUUAGCGGUACUAUUUGCAAAAUAAACUGUGGUUCUUUGACAAUAGCUCCGCUUUUCUAAUCAGUUUAUGGAGUUGUCUAGAUAAAAAUUGUAAAAUGGUGAAAACAUGCUGUUUCUGCAUUAAAUUGCGCAAAGCCUGCAUCAUCAUAGCCAUCGUGGACCUCAUCAUUAACUUAGUGGUGCUCAACUUGGCGGGUCAGGAGUUCAUCGCACACAUUGAGCAGGCGGUGGCCAUCUGCCAUUGCAUCGGCUGCACAUUCCUGCUGGGCGGAGCUCUAAUCCCUGACCAACUGCAUGAUCCUGCUCGUGUACUGCAUCUACAUGCUGAUUAAGGAGGAGCGGUACCGGGAGAUAAUUGUCCCAGGAUCUGCAAUAUAUAUAUGCUUUGGUAUCUACUUCUGGAUUGUCGUCUACUCGUAUUAUGUCGAAGUCAGAGAUCCCGAAGACGUCCUGGAAGUUUAAAACCUUACGCAGA
rnacentral:misc_RNA from 1 species